rnacentral:lncRNA from 1 species
GGCUGACACAUACCUUUUUCUAAUAGAUGUUUUAUACUUGAUGGGCAGUCUUUAUAAUUAAUCAUGUCAUAUGUAUCCAUAAUUUAUCCUAAAAAUUAACAAAGAUGAUUUUGUGUAUUCUCAAGAUAUUAAAAAUUUGAGACAUACAUCAUUAGUGGUUAAUUUUUAAAUACUUCCGAUUGAAGGAUCAUCAUAGAGGACAGUGAUCAAUCCAUUCAAGAUCGGUGCAUAGAUCACCUUCCUUUCAGGAGAUGAGUCUCGAGUCUACGGUGU